rnacentral:rRNA from 1 species
CUAAAAAGUUCUAAAAGCACAAAGAUUUGGUCCUGGUCUUAUUGUCAGUUAUCUCUUGAUUUACACAUGCAAGUCUCAGCACACCCGUGAGGACGCCCUUCCCCCUUCUAUAGGACAAGGAGCUGAUAUCAGGCACAUCUACCGCCCACAACAUCUAGUCCGACCACACCCCCAAGGGUAUUCAGCAGUGAUAAACAUUGACCAUAAGCGACAGCUUGACUCAGUUAAAGAGAAGAGGGCCGGCCAACCCGGUGCCAGCCGCCGCGGCUAGACCCUAGGGCCCAAAUUGACAAAACUCGGCGUCAAUCGUGAUUAAAGUCUUCUAAAAUUAGAGUGGAACCUACUACUAAGCCGUGAAAAGCAAUUUUUUUAGGGAAAAUCAGAAACGAAAGUUACUCUAAUGCACACUUGAACACACGACAACUGGGAAACAAACUGGGAUUA